GCGAGCUCUGGGCCGGCAGUCUGGGUAUUCGGUGGGGGGUAAUCGUUAUCCGGAAUUAUUGGGCGUAAAGGGCUCGGAUGCGGUGCGUCGCGGCCGGUGUGAUAGUCCAUCGCUUAACGGUGGAGCGGCGCCGGGUACGGGCGGGCUGGAGUGUGGUAGGGGAGACUGGAAUUCCCGGUGUAACGGUGGAAUGUGUAGAUAUCGGGAAGAACACCAAUGGCGAAGGCAGGUCUCUGGGCCGUUACUGACGCUGAGGAGCGAAAGCGUGGGGAGCGAACAGGAUUAGAUACCCUAGUAGUC
rnacentral:rRNA from 1 species